rfam:Felis catus isolate Cinnamon breed Abyssinian chromosome D2, whole genome shotgun sequence.
GCCUGGCUGGCUCAGUUGGUAGAGCAUGGGACUCUUGAUCUCAGAGUUGUGAGUUCGAGCCCAUGCUGGGUG